UGGGGGGUAGUUUAAAUAAAACGUAGGCUUUGGGAGCAUAUAAUGUCAUGUAGCGUGGUCCCCCCAA
rnacentral:tRNA from 1 species